GGGGCUGAAACGUACCACCGAAACUAAGGGAUCCGCAAGGAUCGGUAGAGGAGCAUUGCAUGCGGAAGGAAGCAGUACCGUAAGGAGCUGUGGACUGCAUGGAAGAGAGAAUGCCGGAAUGAGUAGCGAGAUAAAGGUGAGAAUCCUUUAGGCCGAAUAUCCAAGGUUUCCAGGGUAAAGCUGAUCUGCCCUGGGUAAGUCGGGGCCUAAGGCGAGGACGAGAGUCGU
rnacentral:rRNA from 1 species